ACAGUCACACAUUAGACUACCCGGUACGUCCCAGCCCUAAACGAUGCGCGUUAGGUGUAUCGGUGACCACGAGUCACCGAGGUGCCGAAGGGAAACCGUGAAACGUGCCGCCUGGGAAGUACGGUCGCAAGGCUGAAAACUUAAAGGAAUUGGCGGGGAGCACCACAAGAGGUGGAGGCUGCGGUUCAAUUGGACUCAACGCCGGAAAACUCAUCGGGAGCGACAGCAGUAUGAUUGCCAGGUUGAUGACCUUGCUUGACAAGCUG
rnacentral:rRNA from 1 species